rnacentral:rRNA from 1 species
AGUGAACGCUGGCGGUAGGCCUAACACAUGCAAGUCGAACGGCAGCACAGUAAGAGCUUGCUCUUACGGGUGGCGAGUGGCGGACGGGUGAGGAAUACAUCGGAAUCUACUUUUUCGUGGGGGAUAACGUAGGGAAACUUACGCUAAUACCGCAUACGACCUACGGGUGAAAGCAGGGGAUCUUCGGACCUUGCGCGAUUGAAUGAGCCGAUGUCGGAUUAGCUAGUUGGCGGGGUAAAGGCCCACCAAGGCGACGAUCCGUAGCUGGUCUGAGAGGAUGAUCAGCCACACUGGAACUGAGACACGGUCCAGACUCCUACGGGAGGCAGCAGUGGGGAAUAUUGGACAAUGGGCGCAAGCCUGAUCCAGCCAUACCGCGUGGGUGAAGAAGGCCUUCGGGUUGGAAAGACCUUUUGUUGGGAAAGAAAAGCAGAAGGUUAAUACCCUGCUGUUCUGACGGUACCCAAAGAAUAAGCACCGGCUAACUUCGUG